rnacentral:rRNA from 1 species
AAAUUGAAGAGUUUGAUCAUGGCUCAGAUUGAACGCUGGCGGCAGGCCUAACACAUGCAAGUCGAACGGUAGCACAGAGAGCUUGCUCUCGGGUGACGAGUGGCGGACGGGUGAGUAAUGUCUGGGAAACUGCCCGAUGGAGGGGGAUAACUACUGGAAACGGUAGCUAAUACCGCAUAACGUCGCAAGACCAAAGUGGGGGACCUUCGGGCCUCACACCAUCGGAUGUGCCCAGAUGGGAUUAGCUAGUAGGUGGGGUAACGGCUCACCUAGGCGACGAUCCCUAGCUGGUCUGAGAGGAUGACCAGCCACACUGGAACUGAGACACGGUCCAGACUCCUACGGGAGGCAGCAGUGGGGAAUAUUGCACAAUGGGCGCAAGCCUGAUGCAGCCAUGCCGCGUGUAUGAAGAAGGCCUUCGGGUUGUAAAGUACUUUCAGCGAGGAGGAAGGCGUUGUGGUUAAUAACCACAGCGAUUGACGUUACUCGCAGAAGAAGCACCGGCUAACUCCGUGCCAGCAGCCGCGGUAAUACGGAGGGUGCAAGCGUUAAUCGGAAUUACUGGGCGUAAAGCGCACGCAGGCGGUUUGUUAAGUCAGAUGUGAAAUCCCCGGGCUCAACCUGGGAACUGCAUUUGAAACUGGCAAGCUUGAGUCUCGUAGAGGGGGGUAGAA